rnacentral:rRNA from 1 species
UAGGGAAUCUUCGGCAAUGGACGGAAGUCUGACCGAGCAACGUCGCGUGAGUGAAGAAGGUUUUCGGAUCGUAAAGCUCUGUUGUAAGAGAAGAACGAGUGUGAGAGUGGAAAGUUCACACUGUGACGGUAUCUUACCAGAAAGGGACGGCUAACUACGUGCCAGCAGCCGCGGUAAUACGUAGGUCCCGAGCGUUGUCCGGAUUUAUUGGGCGUAAAGCGAGCGCAGGCGGUUAGAUAAGUCUGAAGUUAAAGGCUGUGGCUUAACCAUAGUAGGCUUUGGAAACUGUUUAACUUGAGUGCAAGAGGGGAGAGUGGAAUUCCAUGUGUAGCGGUGAAAUGCGUAGAUAUAUGGAGGAACACCGGUGGCGAAAGCGGCUCUCUGGCUUGUAACUGACGCUGAGGCUCGAAAGCGUGGGGAGCAAACAGGAUUAGAUACCCUGGUAGUCCACGCUGUAAACGAUGAGUGCUAGGUGUUAGACCCUUUCCGGGGUUUAGUGCCGUAGCUAACGCAUUAAGCACUCCGCCUGGGGAGUACGACCGCAAGGUUG